CCCACCGGCGCAAUAGAAAAUAUGCACAUCAUUUUCUCAAAAAGCGCCAAAUCCCACCGAGCAAGCUCGGCGGGAGGGAGAGAGGAACCCAUCCUCUCUCUACCCUUCAAACUCCACCUCCCUCUCAAAGUGUGCUAAUCACCACAAAGUGUGUACCAACAAGUGCACGUGUGUUAGCUUUUUCACAAUCAUCUUCUUCGAAGGAGUUAAGUUAGCUCACUAGGUUCUAAAUGCAUGCACAAGAACAAUGACACCUAGUGGCACUUGAUAACCGCUUAGCCAAAGAAUUCCCCUCUUUAUAGUAUGGCUAUCUAUCCUAAAUGUGAUCACACCCUCUAUGGUGUCUUGAUCACCAAAACCAAAACCCUAAGCAAUACCUUUGCCUUGAUCUCUAUGGGGUUUUGUUUUUCUCUUUCUUCUUUUACAAAUUGAGCACUUGAUCAUCUUGUGGUCAUCACCAUCAUUGCUAUGAUCAUCACUUGCUCCAUCACUUGGCAUGUACCAACCUCAUUAAGUCUACAUACACUUAGUAUAGAGUUUAGUACUAGGAUUUCAUCAAUUAUCCAAAACCAAACUAGGGCUUUCAACGAUGAACGACAACAUCACUACCAUAAUGCGGUUCUGGAACAUUGAGUAAGACCGACAUAGCCACAUCCAGCUUGGGGGAGUUCCUCCCCAUUUAUCGAGUAAGUUUUUAUUGUUUUUCUCAUUUAUUUUCUGUUUUAAUAUUUAAAAAAUAUAUAAAAAAAUUAGAAAACCCAAGAAAUAUUUUCUUGCUUAAUUUACUGCAUUCUUUAAACAUGAAAACCACAUAAAAAGAGUGUGUAGAUAGUGUGUUUAUUUUUCCUGUUAAGUUUAAUCUCUAGAAAAAACUAAAAAAACUAAAAAUAUGCAUGAUGGAAUUGAUGAACAGUUGCUCUGUUGCUUACUUGCAAGUACCUAACUUUCAAAUUAGAGUUCUCCCAAGAAUUACUAAAACCUAAAAUUUAAUAUCUAUGGGAGCAUGAGCCUAAAACUAAAGUCUAGGUAAGAGAUAGACAAGAUAUAAAGUUUGAGCUGCUAUUUAUCUUGUUCUUACAACACUGAGUUCUGGAGAUUUACUUUGAAAACUUACAAAUCAUAUGAUGAGUUCCUAGCAUGACAAAAUUCCUACCACAGCCAUACUUGCUAUAAUUUCUAUAUCUUUUGCUACUUAUAUUCGCAUUGAUUUUGAUCAAGCUGUGUAGAUCCUUAGGAGCUUUUCAUGUGGUUAAAUAAAGAUACUCACUUGCACACAUCUAUUACACUAUCCACCGCCAUUCAUAAAAAAUCUGCUAAAAAUAUUGUUAUCACUCACUGACCCAAAGUGUUCUUAUUCUCUCUCUCCAAAAAGAUUCAAUAUAGAAAGAGACAUGGGUUAUGCAAAAAAUAUAUGAAGAAAUAAAAAGGGGCAAGUGCCCGGAACCUCAAAAAAUAAAGAAAAAGAGUGAGACAAGAGGUAAAAAUGGACAAGUGUCUAGAGUAAAAUUAGGGGUACAAAGAUGCCCACCUGAGCAGAAAAAUGGACAAGUGUCCGACAGUAGAAUUAGGGGUAUUCACUAUCCACCUGAAAAAAAAAGAGAAAAAGAAGAAAAAGACAGCCCAUGUUCUCCCAAAGCAAAGAUCAAGAGAGGAGGAGAGAUAGCAAUAUGAGGAGCAAUGAGAAGUAAGUUUUAUCAUCACUUAUACAUUCUCACCAUUACUAUCAUUUACUUCACCACACAUGCACAUCUUGAUUUAAUUAUAUGCUGAGUUCCUUUGGAUCCAUGGUUCCAUUAAACAACAUAUGUAUGAGCUGUUUUUCACACCUAUGUUGACACUUGCUAACACCACUUGAAUGCUAGGUUGUCAUCCCCAGCAUGGCACUAGAGUGUACUAUGGUAUUUAUACGCACACAGAUAAAUACGCAAGUGCACGGAUACCGUUGUAGCUUUUACCCGGUUAAAGGUUUUAUCGUAUCCACAGGGAAACGGGAGAACUGAUCUACGCUCUAACUUAACCUAGAUAGAUAGGUAGGUGUAAAUAGGUAAGAUGGUAGAAUUGAAUAUGAACAAUAUUAAAGGUAAGAUAAUAAUGGGUGAUAAUAUAGGAAUAGAGAGUAGAGCAAUCUAAUAUAUGGGCGAUAAUAGGAGAAUAGAGAGGAUAACUAUGGUUUCUCUACUUUAAAGGGGUAUGUCUAUGUCUGGGGCGAACUACGUGAUAAGAAUACACCACAAAGGAUGCUUAUCCAUAGGCCGAUAAACCCUACCAAUCCUGCUAACGGGAGGUGGACUACAGGGGACCAACGUAACUGUCACCUACGCGGCCUACCACAUGAUCCGGCUAGACAGGGGAUAUCCACAAGUAAUCUAGAUCUAAGCACCACACUUACACCUAUACUACAACUCUCACCUAUAGCGUCCUUGUAACACCUAAAAUUUGAUUUUCAAAUAAUAGGAUUUAAUUGAUUUAAUUGAAUAUUUUGUGAGCAUUUAAAUUAGUAAAGAAAUAAAUUUUAUUGAAGUUAAAAAUUCAACAUAGAGAUAGAAACUUGUUUAUGCAUUCAUUCUGAAGCAUAUUUCAUUUUGUGUUGUUUGCUUUUGGUUUGAUUUCUAUUUGAUUCAAAUCCUAUUUGAAAAAUUGGUUUGGAAAAGCUUUUGAAAAAAAGAAAAAAAAGGGGAGGUCACCUCCCUGGAAUCUGGCCCAGUCGGCCUGCUAGCACCUCACCUCGCUCCGAGGCCUUGGGCCGAGCUGGUCACCUGUGCGCGGGCGCUUUCUGCCCCCUCUCCCUCACUGACACCCAAGACCCACCUGGCAACGACCCCGCCUUCUCCCUCCUCAGGCCGAGGGCAAAUCGGCCUCUUCCUCUCACCGAUUUGGAAACAAACCUCCUACAAUCCCGAGAUUUCUUGCUCAAUCGCGUCCUAUAAGACACCCUAGCACCGCAGCGAACUCCCUUUGCAUCUAAAUCGUGAAACCAAGCCCUAGCCGCACUGGUCCGCGCAUUUUCAAAUCUCACCGUGGCCGCGCCCUAGCUCCAUCGCGACGAGCCAUGCUCACACG
rnacentral:lncRNA from 1 species